CUCAGAGGUGGGCCACCGUGAUGCUCAGGCUUUGUCUUUGCUGCUUAAACAACAAGGUGCAAAAUUGCAUUCACAAAGUUUAAAGGCUAUCUUUCAAAAUCAAGCCCAUAAUGUGACUGUCCUGUGGACUAUUUGUUGAGACCUUGGCAUCCUAGCAAUAGCGGCCACAUAUAGGUCUAAGAGUGAUGGGAGCAGCAGCCCUUGCAGCUGCUCCUUCAUUCGUUCCACUGCUGAACUGAGGCAGGAUGCUAGAGCUCCUACUACAGGCCAGACAGUAUAACAGCAGCUGCAAGACCAGUUACAUUCAGUCGGUGUUUUAAGCACCUUUUCUUUCCCUAACCAUAUGGACUAGGAGGCCACUAUUUUGAAAAAGAAAACUUAGAUCCUGAAGAAGUUGAAGGCAUCGGUCAUAAAUUCCCCCCGCCGAGCAGGAUUCUGUAAGGCUAACAGAACUUGCAUUUACAUAUGGAUCAAUCUAGAUCAGCUGCAUGGCCUCUUACAAUCCAUCA